rnacentral:rRNA from 1 species
GAUAAACGCUGGCGGCGUGCCUAACACAUGCAAGUCGAACGAUCAAGAUUAAAAGAUUUCUUCGGAAUGAACUUAAUUGGAUUAGUGGCGGACGGGUGAGUAACGCGUGAGUAACCUGCCUUGUACAAGGGGAUAGCCGUUGGAAACGACGAAUAAUACCCUAUGACAUCAAAUAAUCGCAUGAUAAUUUGAUCAAAGAUUUAUCGGUAUAAGAUGGACUCGCGUCUGAUUAGCUAGUUGGUAGAGUAAAAGCCUACCAAGGCAACGAUCAGUAGCCGGCUUGAGAGAGUGUACGGCCACAUUGGGACUGAGACACGGCCCAGACUCCUACGAGGGGCAGCAGUGGGGAAUUUUGCACAAUGGGGGAAACCCUGAUGCAGCGACGCCGCGUGAUUUAGAAGGCCUUCGGGUUGUAAAAAUCUUUUGUAUGGGAAGAAAAUGACAGUACCAUACGAAUAAGGACCGGCUAAUUACGU